CUUAACUAUAAAUUCAUUCAAGAGCUGGUGUACGGGAAGCUACUGGAAGUGUACUGGAAGUUACUGGAAGUGUACUGGAAGUUAUCAAGAGUAUAGCUCUUCAAAUUUUCAGCUUAUAGGUGAGGCUAUUAUCAUGUAACAGAGAACAUGGCUACAAGCACAGAUGGGUUAACAACUCCUGAGGAAGAAGACAACAUCUUUCUCCCCACUGUGCAUAUCUGAAUCCCAGAGCUGCAAUGUGAUUGGACCAGAAGGAUGAGGCCAGGUCUGGGUCAUGUGAUCACUUCUGAAGAAUAGUUAGCAGCUCUGGGAGUACAUACCACAUGACCAGAAGAAAGAAUAUCGGAAAGCUUGUUCAGAAGACCAAAGAGCUAACUAAGACUUCCAUAGGAAUCACCCGGGCUUCAUGAUUAAAGAUGUCUUGGAAUACAAAGGAGCCUUGGGGACAGAGAUUAUGUACAGUAAAGCAACAAAAUAGAAGGAAGCUCGAUAAUUGCACUGAAGAGCAUAUACAAGUCCACACUCACUUCCUUCCAGACGAUCAAACAGAAAAGGAAUAUUUGAUGUGUUGAAGUCACUUUUGGGGAUUGCAGGGAGGUACUUUCUAUGACUUGCAGUUAAGCCAAAUCUUAAUUAAUUAAGAUGGUAUUUCUUAAAUUUGAAGAGAAGAUUCUAAGAGUAUAAAUUUUGUUGCAGGGAAUUUUGAAAAAGAUGUGUUCCACUCUGCUAGGACUACGAAAUUUCUUACCUGUUCGUUCAAGUAAAAGUGUGGAAGAGUUGGGAGACGGAUACUGAUCCUAUGUGGAUAAAGAUGGCUGUGGAUGUUUCCACUUCAGACCUUUGAUCCCAAUGUCUCCUUCUGAAUGUCCUCAACUCCUUCAACUUGCCUCUGGAUGACUGGUGCCUACUCAUCCUUCUGCAUUCAGCUCAAGGGUCAGCAUCUCCAAGAAAACUUGCCCUUCACCUCUCUCCAACCUUAUGGUGGCUUUAGCAUCCAAAAUACCCAGCUCUCAUCUCCAUCACUAUACUUAACCCUACAUGAACAUUCCAGAACUCUGAGGAAUCCCCAAAUAGAUGAGAAUUGCUGCCAAGAAGCUUAGAGUUGAACAAGAUGUUUCACUACAGUAUAUAGCAAAUUUCCUUACAAAUUUUGAGGUGAUCUAAUCUUGGGAGAAGAGAAAAGGAAGGCAAGUAGCAACUUUUAUAAAAGUUAAGUAGUAUCAUUUUUUUUGGUACGGGGGAUCGAACUUGGGACCUUGUGCUUGCAAGGCAGGCGCCGGAACCACUGAGCUAAAUCCCCUGCCCUAGUAUAAUUUUUUUUUAAAAAGCAAGCAAAGCAAUAUUUUACUGGAUAGAAGUUUGUAUAAUUUCUGAUUUUAGGUGAAUUCUGCUCCAUAUAGAAAGCAAGGCAAUUGAGCCUAUAAUAUUAGGUUCCUUUUCUUUGAGAAGGCCUGAGGGAGAAAGAAGCCAAUGAGAAAAGUUCUUGCCUUUGACACAGUGAUUCUUGUAGGCUGAGUGAACAAGUACACACCUUAAGCUCAUGGGCAGGAAAAGUGAAGGAAUGUUCUAAGAGCUAAACAUCAGUUUCUGAGAAUAAAUAUGGUUGACUCAUUCUUAUAUUUUGGAUGAAGUCUUGGAAACAAACCAAAUUCUUUUGACUUUCUCUAAUCCUUUGCUUGGAACCUGCCCAGAACCACGUAAGAGAAUGACUAAUCUGCAUCUGGUAGACACAUAGACUAUGAGAAACCUGCUUGGACUAAGAUGGAACCCUAAUGUGACUUGUAUGAACCGUGACUUAGAAAAUAGAGCAUUGGUUUGGAAAACAGUCCAGUAGUUCCUCCAGGGGUGAAACACUGUUGCCGUUCAACCUACCAAUUGGACACCUAGGGACCUGCCUUCUUUUUGUCCACUUCACCUGACAACUUUCAUUAGUCCAGUAAAUGAAUUAAAGAAGAGAAAUAAAUUGUUUCAUGUUCUUAAAGCAAGG
rnacentral:lncRNA from 1 species